rnacentral:rRNA from 1 species
UACGUAGGGGGCAAGCGUUGUUCGGAAUGACUGGGCGUAAAGGGUGCGUAGGUGGUGUAGCAAGUUAGAAGUGAAAUACCUAGAGCUUAACUCAGGUGCUGCUUCUAAAACUGCUAUACUUGAGUGCAGUAGAGGAAAGUGGAAUUCCUAGUGUAGCGGUGGAAUGCGUAGAUAUUAGGAGGAACAUCAGUGGCGAAGGCGACUUUCUGGACUGUAACUGACGCUGAGGCACGAAAGUGUGGGGAGCAAACAGG